rnacentral:misc_RNA from 1 species
GCGUGCCCUCCUCCUCUGUGCUCUCUUAAAACCCGUGCCCUCCUCCACGACUCUAGGGAAGGCUGGCGAAGGCGGAAGGAAAGAGACAAAUCAAAAAGAAAGUACACAGAACAUCGUUCUUUCUUUUCUCACUCCUUCGACUACUCUCGCCUCCAGUGGCGCUAGGGUAAACAUGGCGGAUCUGUGCGAUCGGGUUACUGCAGUUUGUAGAUUUGUUGACCUUUAGGUUUUGUGGCCCCUGGGAAUCGCGGAUCCUCGCCGCGCUCGAUAUGAAGGACCAACUUGGGAUUACGCACACCAGCCAUGCAGUCCACCGUGAGCCCUUUACCAAAGGAUGGGGAGGGAAGCGUAGCCGUUUCUAGUCUUAAGGCCACCGGUGGACAGUAUGAUGUCCAAGGGUGGAGAAGGUGACAUCUCGUCCUGGACAAACCAAGAUCAAGCUGCAGGCAAGAAGGAAACCAAGGAGGACAAGGCAUGGCAUGGGGUGAGGACGGUGGUGCUGCAGCGGUCCAGCCCGAACGAGGACCUGGGCUUCACGCUGCGGCACUUUGUCGUCUACCCGCCCGAUGCCAUCAAGGCUGCCCGGUUAGCAGGAAAACACCCAACAGUUGUAGAUCCGAGCUGGGACCAGCACAAGCAAGAAGCCAUGGACACCAUCUUUGUGCGAGAGGUCCAGCCUGGAAGUGCAGCUGACAGGGCAGGCCUUGUCACGGGCGACCGUAUUGUCUCCAUCAAUGGGCAGCCUGUCACCGGGCGCUCCUACGCGCAGGUCAUCGAUCUCAUCAAGAGGGGGGGUCUAUCUGUACAGCUGCUGGUUGUGCCCAAAGAAGAUGACAUCCUUCAGCUUUAUUUCGCCAGCGCAGCCUAUCAACCAGUGCGGAGGCCACCAUGGCAGACUCCCCAGGCCCGUCCCAACACUGACGGCUCUUCCCUCCUUCCACCCCAGCGAGGACGAGGCGUGCCAACCUCUGAGCCGACUUCACCAGUACACUGCACUCCAUCGACGCACUUCCGGCCUGUCAACCCAGCUCGCCGUCGCUUUUUUGGCCUCGAUCCAUCUCCGCCACCGGCCAUGACUGCGUCGGCCUCUGCUGCGUCUCCGCCACAGGGCACAACACUGGGUAGUGCCACCGUUGAACAUACCGACCGAAGCGACCAGAGCAACUUGCUUGCCUCACAGCCCAUGUCUCUCAGCUACCCGUCCUACCGAACGGCCGAAGUUGGCGUGCCCCGGCCAACCACCUCGUCCAAGAUGCCUCCAAGUACAAGUGUUCCCAUGCACCUAGGAACUCAGUUCCUCAAGCCCGAGGACCCUUGGUCCACUCAAGGCCAGGCAGACAGCGGUAUCGGGAGCGUGGAAGAUGCCGACUCUAAGCAGACAGCGAUAGUAACGACGACGGUGACGACAACGACAGCAACAACUCAUUCGGACAUGGCUACUGAUGAUCAUUCCUCCCUGAACCUCGUUGCGCAGCGGUUACACCUUUUCGAAUCGGGAGGUCUUCUUGCACGCUCACUCGAGAGGAUGAAGCUGUAUCGGAGCGAGCUUGCGCGGCUGACCUCUGGCUGUCCUGUGCCGAUUGUGUCGGUACGCGCAGCCAAGUUCGAGGAGAUGGACAGCUCGGGCUCAGAUGGCCGCAGGGGAGAUAAUGCAUCAGAGACAUCGUCACUGUCAGCAGCACCGCCAGUGUCCUUUGACCGGCUGCUGCCCUUGUCAUCACCCACAUCACGCAUCCCUUCAUUUGACCGGUCACCUGACAGCCCCAUUUUCGAAGAGAAGGGCUUCUCCUCGUUACCUGACCAAAGCACGCUUGCCAGGAGCAAUGAGGGGAGCUCGCCGAACCUUGACAAUGGCGCUGUCUGCCAAACGGAUGAUUUUGUCUCACCAGAGGUUGCCUCAUCUGUUGUGUAUAGGAGAAAAAAUGGUUCUCAAGAAGACAAGGCUCACCCGGCACGACGAACGUCGUACCUUCGAGCGACUGCAAACGAACGCCUUCACCUGGAAUCAGACCAGAGCGAAGAUGAACAACACUCCGUUUCUAGCACUUCGUCCACCCCAAGUGGAUCUCAUCGAAUCCAAAGGCUAAAGGCAUUCUUUGGCGACAAGGCUUCAAACUCAUCAACACCUGGGGUGGAUGGGAAGAAUGAAGAUGCAGAGGAACGACAACAGUCACAACAACAACAACAGCAGCAGCAACUGCAGCAACCUGAGGUGACAGGCGACGUCCAGGGCUGGCUGGCCUGCAAGACCGUGCUUGUGGAUGGCAAGAGGUCAAGCGACCGCUCCUGGCGGCCUGUCUGGGUGGUCCUCAAGGGUGACAAGGUGUACAUACUCAAAGACCGAAAGGUGGGCUUUCUGAUGACCAUAGACUUUGCCGAAGGUUCACGUCUGUCGGUACGCACCACGAUGAGUGACGUGGCCCGCGACUACACCAAGCGCAAGCAUGUGUUUCGGCUCCGCAUGGAGUCCGGCACUGAGUACCUUUUCCAGGCUGACAACCACACCCGCAUGAUGCAGUGGGUUGAUGCCUUCCGGCAGAUCACCGCCGAGGACUCUGAGGUGGAGGAGCUAAUGCGCAGUGACCGAACGGUGCUAGAGAAAGCACAGGCCUUUGAGCAGAAUCGCCUGUCGCCUAGCAACGCUCCACCAGCCGUGGUGCGGCCGGCACCACGCAAGCUGGCCUUGCGUCACCGCUCGCCCACAUCAGGAUCACCCCGGGUGAAGUCCCGACGGGCCUCCCUCGGGGCUGCCUCUGGUGUUGCUGCAGAUGAGCCGUCAUUGAAGGCAGUGCACAUGUGGCGAGGGAGGGUGGUGCACGGCUGGAAGAAGUUCCAUGGGUCGCUGGCUUCUCUCCCACCGAAGGGGCACAGCAUAGGGGUGCCCCUGCACGAAUGCCCACCAUCCCACGAGAAUCAGUAUGUCCCAUGGCUGGUGAGCCAGUGCUGCCGCGUUGUGGAAGCAAAGGGCCUGGAGACCGUGGGUGUGUAUCGCAUCCCGGGCAACAGUGCUGCUGUAGCCGCUCUCUCUGCCACAGUCAAUGGCACUGGCGGACCACUGGACUUGACCGACCCCCGAUGGGGGGAUGUGCACGUUGUCUCCAGCCUGUUGAAGGCCUUCUUCCGGCAGCUGCCCGACCCCCUGGCUGGCUUGUACCCGCGAUUCAUCGCCGCUGCCCGUGUACCACAGGGCACUCAACGUCUCGCUGCCCUUCGAGCGCUGGUACAAGAGCUUCCUGUGCACAACUUCGAAACCCUCAAGUUCCUCAUGCAGCAUCUCAAGAGAGUGGUGGCCCACAGUGAAACCAACAAGAUGGAGGCUCGCAACCUGGCUAUCGUUUUUGGACCAACGCUGGUGCGGACAGCCGACAACAGCAUGUUGACUAUGAUAACUGACAUGUCCCACCAGUGCCACAUCACCGAAGCACUCAUCAACUAUGCGGACUACAUCUUCAGCCCAUCUGAUGAGGCCGCAGUACCGGACCUGCCACUGGAUGUGACUGCCCUUUCAGACACAGACUCUUCAGUGCUCCUAGGCAACCUACAUAAAGUUGGUGGCCAGGCAGCAGGCAGCAACCCGGAGGUGUCCCCCAGAGACCUGGUCUCGUCACUUGUGAGUGCGGCCAACCGCAAGCUGCGCCAGCGCAAGCUGUCCCUCACCGUGGAGAGCAGCAGCCCAACCACUGUUGGGGGGCCCCUGAAGCCCGGCUCACGGGUCAAGGACAAGAUCCUGGCCUUUGAGGGCAAAGUGGGCGAAGACUCGACCAGCAAGGCGGCCAGCAAUGGCUCACUGCCUGCAGAGAGCAGCUCACCGCCACCUCCCCUCUCAGCCGGCUCCAGCAGCUAUCCUCCAUCCCCAACACGGACCCUGCUGGGAUCCCCACCCCAAACACCCUCUGUGUGCUCAGAGGACUUGUGCUCAUCGCUGGCCAGCGGGAGUGCCUCACCGCGUACCUACGGACAGCUGAGUGCGCUAGCGCAGCAGAAGGUGCGCCACCUGGAGGAAGAGACGCGAGCCCAGCUGCGGGCUUCCUCUCGCCGUUGCUGGCCCCCACCCGCGUGCCCCGGCGGCCCUGCCCAGCGCGAGCAGAUCGAGCGCGACUGGCAGCGUGCCAAGCAGGAGCUCGAGCGCGAGGACCUGCUUGACUUCCUUGCUGACGAACCUACGGCCUACCUCAGGCUGCUUGGAGGCGGAAGCGGCACGCAGCAGCAUCAGCGAUCAUCUCCCGUGCCUUUCAGUCCCCUCGUUGGCGCUGCGGCAGGCACCUUCUUUCGAUCACCACAGGUGUCCCAAGCAUCACAAGCAUCACCAACAGCAAGCUCAGUAAGAGCUUGGUAAUUUGGAUCUGAUGGGUACCAGCUGAAAUAUCCGAAUGAUCAGAAUGUCAGAUGAUUGACUGACAGAAGAUCUACCCCAGAAGGACUUCCACGUACAUGGCGUUAUUGAUGAUGUCCAGACGCCUGCCAGCUGCCCGGAGACAUUCCAUCAAUUCGC